rnacentral:rRNA from 1 species
AAAACAUGCAAGUCGAACGCUGACAUUCAGGUAGCAAUACUUGGAUGUCGGAGUGGCGCAAGGGUGCGUAACACGUGGGCAAUCUGCCGUGAAGUCUGGGAUAACUCGCUGAAAGGCGAGCUAAUACCGGAUGUGAAAAUUGGAUGGCAUCAUUUGAUUUUCAAAGUUGGGGACCGCAAGGCCUGACGCUUCAUGAUGAGCCCGCGGCCUAUCAGCUAGUUGGUGAGGUAACGGCUCACCAAGGCUAAGACGGGUAGCUGGUCUGAGAGGACGACCAGUCACACUGGAACUGAGUCACGGUCCAGACACCUACGGGUGGCAGCAGUCGAGAAUUUUUCUCAAUGGGCGAAAGCCUGAAGGAGCGACGCCGCGUGGGGGAUGAAUGGCUUCGGCCCGUAAACCCCUGUCAUUUGUGANCAAAUUGUUUCACCCAAUACGUGAAGCAUUGAUAGUACGGAAGAGGAAGGGACGGC